rnacentral:rRNA from 1 species
CGAAGGAUCCAAGCGUUGUCCGGAUUUACUGGGUUUAAAGGGUGCGUAGGCGGGCUAUUAAGUCAGUGGUGAAAGCUUGCAGCUUAACUGUAAAAUUGCCAUUGAAACUGAUAGCCUCGAAUAUAGUUGAGGUGGUUGGAAUGUAACAUGUAGCGGUGAAAUGCUUAGAUAUGUUACAGAACACCGAUUGCGAAGGCAGAUCACUAAACUAUUAUUGACGCUGAGGCACGAAAGCGUGGGGAUCAAACAGGAUUAGAUACCCUGGUAGUCCACGCCCUAAACGUUGUAUACUCGGUUUUAGCGAUAAACAGUUAGAACCCAAGCGAAAGCGUUAAGUAUACCACCUGGGAAGUACGUCCGCAAGGAUG